rnacentral:rRNA from 1 species
AUUGAACGCUGGCGGUAUGCCUAACACAUGCGAGUCGAACGGCAGCACAGUAAGAGCUUGCUCUUACGGGUGGCGAGUGGCGGACGGGUGAGGAAUACAUCGGAAUCUACUUUUUCGUGGGGGAUAACGUAGGGAAACUUACGCUAAUACCGCAUACGACCUACGGGUGAAAGCAGGGGAUCUUCGGACCUUGCGCGAUUGAAUGAGCCGAUGUCGGAUUAGCUAGUUGGCGGGGUAAAGGCCCACCAAGGCGACGAUCCGUAGCUGGUCUGAGAGGAUGAUCAGCCACACUGGAACUGAGACACGGUCCAGACUCCUACGGGAGGCAGCAGUGGGGAAUAUUGGACAAUGGGCGCAAGCCUGAUCCAGCCAUACCGCGUGGGUGAAGAAGGCCUUCGGGUUGUAAAGCCCUUUUGUUGGGAAAGAAAAGCAGCAGGUUAAUACCCCGCUGUUCUGACGGUACCCAAAGAAUAAGCACCGGCUAACUUCGUG